rnacentral:lncRNA from 1 species
CACGAAGAGUCCCUCCAGUCUGGUCUAAGGUGAAAAAAAAAAAGGUGGGUUUUUUUGUUGUUGUUGUUGUUUUUUUUGGUACUAGGGAUUGAACUGAGGUACUCCACCACUGAGCCCCAUCCCCAGCCCUAUUUUGUAUUUUCUUUAGAGACAGGGUCUCACUGAGUUACUUAGCACUCACCAUUGCUAGGCUGGCUUUGAACUCUGGAUCCUCCUGCCUUAGCCUCCUGAGCUGCUGGGAUUACAAGCAUGUGCCACUGUGCCUGGUGGAAAAAAAGGUGUUCUUGUUAGCAUGACUUUGACCCUGAAUCCUAUAAAACAACAGCCCAAACAUUAUAAUUUUUUAAUUCCAAAUAAUUUAUCCCAACUUUUUAUUUAAAAAAAAAUCCAAACCUUCUGUACUAUCUUAGUUCUUUGCAGCCCCAACAAAGUAUUUCCAUAUUGCAAAGGAUGCCACCAGCCUGAUGUUUUGGGCAGGACCCCAGCUCUUCCUUUCCUUCCCAUCUCACACUCCCAAGGCCUGACAAUUCCACCUUCAAAUAUGACUUGAAUCUGUCCAUUUCUUUCCCUUUUCUCCACUAACACUCUAGUCCAAAUAGGAUUGUCAGAUAAAAUGCAAGAUAGAUAAUUUUAAAAAUAGAAACAUGUUCAUACACAAUUUUUAAAUUUUUUUAAAAAUUUUUUUCUUAAUUGUAGAUGGACACAAUGCUUUUAUUUUAUUUAUUUAUUUAUUUUUAUGUGAUGCUGAGGAUCGAACCCAGGGCCUCACACAUGCCAGGCAAGCGCUCUACCACUGAGCCACAACCCCCACUGAGCCACAACCCCAGCGCUCCAUGCACAAUUUCAAUUUUGGAUAAGCAAAGAAUAACUCUUGCAUAAGUAUGUCUGGUGCAAUUUUUAGGAUCAUACAGUCAUCCCUUGGUAUCUUCAGGACCUCCCUCCCAAGGAUACCAAUCCAUGGAUCCUCAAAUCCUUUUGUAAAAAAUAGUGAAUAUUUGCAUACAAUCUAUGCACAUUCUCUUAUACACUUUAUCUCACCUCUAGAUUAUUCCUAAUCUAGAUUCCUAAUGCCUAAUACAACGUAAAUAGUUGCAAUACUGUUAAGAGACCAAUGAGGGUGGAGAGGGAGUCUGUUCAGAACAAAUAUAAUUUUAAAAAAUAGUUUGCAUUCAUGAUUGGUUGAAUCCACAGAUUAUAGAACCGACCAAUUCAGAGGGCUGACUGUACUAAAAUAUUCUUUACUUAUCUGAAAUUCAAAUUUAACUGAGUGUCUCAUGUUUUGAUUUGCUAAAUUUGGCAAGCCUAUGUCCAAGGCACAGUUGUCAAGCCUGGACCACGGCAUAAUUUCCUACUGGUCUCCCCGCCCUGGCUCUCACUCCUGCCAAUGAAUCCCACAGCUGCGGAGGAACUUUGGAAAAAGUGAAUCUUUCAGUACUCUGCCCUAUCUAAAGCACCUCGAGGUGCUUUUACCAUUCUGGAAAUAUUGCCAUCUUUUUUUUUUCUUUGUAGAGAGCAGCUUUAUUUGGAUUAAUACGCAUAUUGUACAAUUCACCAUUUUGAAGUAUACAAACCAUUGAUUUUUAGGAUACAAAUGGUCCCCCACUUUCGAAGGUUCUGCUUACAAUUUUUUGACUUUAUGAGGGCACAGAAGUGAUGCAAGUUCAGCAGAAACUGUUCCUUGAAUCCCCUCCAUGUUGUAGCACAUAUCAGUUUUUCCGUCCUUUUUAUGGCUGAGUAAUAAUUCCAUCAUAUAGACAGACCAAAAUGUAUUAAUUCAUCCAUUGAUGGACAGUCAAGUUGUUUCCAUCACUUGACUGUUUAGAAUAAUGCUUCUAAGAGAAGAGAUUACUAGGGUCUGGGAAGGGGGAUGAGAAGUGAAUAGAGGUACCUGGAUAUGGGUACCAAAAUACAAGUAGGCAGAAGGAGCAAGUUCCAGUGUUCUACAGCACAGCAGGGUGUCUGUCAUUUAUAAUAACAUAUCUUUUGGUUGGUUGACUGAAUUAAUGAAAAAAUGAAUCAAUGAAUGAUUGAGCGCAAAGAAGGCAGAAAGUGUUUCCGAGAUCCACUUCCAAACAUAGUAGGUGCUCAAUAAAUAUUUGUGUUGCUGCUAUGAGAGCAGAGGAGUUUGUAAGCUUCAAAUACAAAGGAAUGACAGGUGGCUAAGGAGAUGGAAAUGCUAACUACCACACAGGUCAGAUCAUUCACAUUGUGUACUUGUACUGAAUUAUACCACAGCCCAUAAGUAUGUAUUUUUACUAGGUGUCCAUUAGAAAAAUUUUAAAGAAUAAUGCUUCUGUGAACAUUUAUAGACAGGUUUUUGUGUAGAUGUAUGUUUUCAUUUCUUGUAGCUAUGUAUUUAUACAUGGAAUUGCUGGGUUAAAUUUUUGGGGCGGUAGGGUACCAGGAUUGAACCCAGGGGUCCUUAACCACUGAGCUACAUCCCCAGCCCUUUUUAAUUUUUCUUUUGAGACAGGGUCUGGCUAAGUUGCUUAGGGGUCUCACUAAGUGGCCGAGGCUGAUCUUGAACUUGCAAUCCUCCUGCCUCGGCCUCCCAAAUUUCUGGGAUUACAAGCAUGUGCCACCGUGCCUGGCUGGCUUAGAUCAUUUUUGAUUAAACAAUUGAGAGAUGGCCACAUUGCUUUUUCUUUCCUUUUUUUUUGAGAGAGAGAGAAUUUUAAUAUUUAUUUUUUAGUUUUUGGUGGACACAACAUCUUUGUUUGUAUGUGGUGCUGAGGAUCGAACCCAGGCUGCACACAUGCCAGGCGAGCGCGCUACCGCUUGAGCCACAUCCCCAGCCCCACAUUGCUUUUUCAAAGUGUGUGACCUGACAUCCCCAAGAGCGUUGGACAAGGGUUCCGGCAUGUACUUUGCAUCUUCCUAAGCAAAACUGUCCAUAGUCUGAAGAAGCGAGGCCUUUUCGGUCCUGCGAGCCUUUGCACAUAUCCCCCUCUUUCUAAAUCACUCUUCCUGGGUCUCUCAGUGAGGACCCACCCUUUACCUGCCAGCUCUCACCCCAAAUGUCACCUGCUCAGGCCUUCCCUGACCACCCCAUCUAAGGAAUGCAACCACACACACUGUUAUCCAUCACUGAAAUGAACUCUUACCUUAAUGAGUAAAUGGUUUUACUUGUAUUUAUUUAUUUAUUUAUUUAUUUUUGUGCAUCCCCAACUAGAAUGUGUGCUUCCUGGGAAGGUGGAGGCCAGGCCUUCUCAUUCAUCUUGUAUUCUCAGCCACUCACAGAGAGUCUGGUUCCUAGGGUAUGCUCAGUAAACCCCAGAUGGUUGAAUGAAUUGAUGAAAAUCAUGAAUCAAUGAACAGUUGAGCGCAGAGAGGGCAGAAGGUGUUUCUGAGAACCACUUCCAAACAUAGUAGGUGCUCAAUAAAUAAAUAAAUAAAAGACACACACAACUACACAUACACACACACACACACACACACACAGAGUAACAGAGAGAAAAAUGAACUCACUCCUUCAAGACAGAGGUGACAGGUGCCACAAUAAGCCUCAUAAAUCCUGACACAAAUGCCCAGGCAAGAGACAGAUGAGAUGUUUGGCCUAUUUCACUUGCAAUCAGCUGAAGAGAUGAGCCCUCUUUCUGGUUUAAUAGAAAAAUCGCUUUGAGCACUUUGGUGCACAGAGCACUUUGAAAUUCUAAUUACAGGUGACACACAAAUGGAAAGAAAAAUAGGAAAUCAAACAUGGGAGCCAAUUCCGUGGGAUUUAUAUGGAAGCUCGAUAGCAACAAAUUACCUCUGACUGCUCAGAAUCUUCUCAGAGCACUUUGCAGAUGGAGUUCACCGAGGCUGGCAUGAGGAUGAGGUUAGGGACAUCAGUAAUGCAUCCGAGUUCUCUGCAGACAUGUCAAUGUCCUGAAUCUUUGGGUCCAUUUUUGCAAUAUAUCCCCAAGGCGGAAAUCACAGAAGACCUGCUGUGGUCUGAUUCUAGCCACCUCCAGAUACUGCUCUCCCGACACGUUCCCUCCUCCUCCAGCCUCCAAUCAUCUCAGCCUCCCAGCCUCCAAUCAUCUCAGCCUCAACUCAG